GGUCCCGUGGUGUAGCCUGGUUUAACAUGCCACCCUGUCAAGGUGGAGAUCGCCGGUUCAAAUCCGGUCGGGACCGCCA
rnacentral:tRNA from 1 species